CUCAAAACGAUGGAGUCCUUAACCAGAAGAAGAACUCUGCCAAAGAUCUUAUUCGUCCUGCUCCUCACUACUUUCAACCUCCUAGUUGCCGUCAGUUCAACUGCGGUAUCCCUUAACAACAUGUAUAUUUCGAGAAAGUUGCUGCAAAGAUCACCACCACCACGAGGAAAUAUACACCGUCCCACCCCAGCGCCUUGCACUAAUCUCCCUCGUCGCCCUCCAAAUACUCCAUCCUGCCCACCACUAUGAUUUGAUGAUUGUGUGCCUCAGUUACUAUUAAUUAAUUUAUAGUUUACAUAGGAGUAAGUGGUUUGUUAUUGGGAAUUUUGGACAACAACCAAAAAAUCGCGUUCUAGUGCGGAGCCAGAUUACAUUAAUGUUCUUGUAUACUAUUAAAUAAAAAUACAGAUAAAAA